rfam:Anopheles maculatus strain maculatus3 cont1.17780, whole genome shotgun sequence.
GAUGUUAAGUAGGCACUUGCAGGCAAAGUGACAUUCCGAUGGUUGACUGCUUUUUCCUACUUUACAUU